AGGGAGACCUACCUUGGGGCAUCUGAGAGGAGUCAGGCCACCGAAGGUCAUCCCAGGUCGGUCGGGGUUGAAGGGAUGGUUGACUGAGGUUCUGGAGGGGAACCGAGGGGAGGGCUAUUAGCUCAGGUGGUUAGAGCGCACCCCUGAUAAGGGUGAGGUCCCUGGUUCGAGUCCAGGAUGGCCCACUGUUUGUCCUGGAGAAGGGAGAGCUAGCAAGCUAGAAGCGAGCUGGCCAAGCUGAGGGCAAAGCCAGAGGGUGGGUGCAGUCUGGACUGGGGGUAUAGCUCAGCUGGUAGAGCGCUGCCUUUGCACGGCAGAAGUCAGCGGUUCGAGUCCGCUUACCUCCACCAC
rnacentral:tRNA from 1 species